ensembl:snoRNA
UCUACACCUAGAGGCAUUGUUGCUUUGGCUCUGUGUUCCAUGUGUAUCAGUAGAAGGCAGAGAAGAGAGAGGCUAGUCUGUACUCAGCACUCUGACUUGUAAACAUUCUGUACCUAAUUAUUGGUACCCUGACAUU